rnacentral:rRNA from 1 species
UACAGAGGGUGCGAGCGUUAAUCGGAAUUACUGGGCGUAAAGCGCACGUAGGUGGCGACGUAAGUCGGGUGUGAAAGCCCCGGGCUCAACCUGGGAAUUGCAUUCGAGACUGAAUAGCUAGGGUACGGUAGAGGGAAGUGGAAUUUCCGGUGUAGCGGUGAAAUGCGUAGAUAUCGGAAGGAACAUCAGUGGCGAAAGCGACUUCCUGGACCAGUACCGACGUUCAGGCACGAAAGCGUGGGGAGCAAACAGG